GUACUGAUAUGGUCUGCGUACACUCUACCCACCCCACUAUGUGGAAUACACUGGCUAUGUUGUUUUAGUUUGACUUGUAAUACUCGAAUUUUCUCUUGCAGCUCGAUGUGCGCGGUGACAUUUCAGGAUUAUUAUCGUCGCAUCCACAAGCGCCGUUACUAUCCCUACACCAUUUCGAUGUUGUAGAGUCGAUUUUUCCUUCAAUGAAUCGUACACAAUCAACAAAACACCUCAUGAAAGCAGCAAAUUUACGAUCAAUCUCGAAUGUUACAACAAACAAUAUGCCACCAUAGGUCUAGCAAUUGGACAUUUUCAGUAUCAUGGGGAUAUUCAGUUCAUAUUUACGAGAAAAUUAUGCCUAGGAGUCAUUUAAUUAAACCUAUUCAAACAUUUAGUGCUUGGGUUGCCAAGCCUGAGAAUCCUCCAUAUUACAUGUUUAAUACGAGGUCGUUUGCAAAUAAUUCCUGUGAAACUCCUCGUGUGUUUUUCUUAAAAUCUAUCGGGGAAUAGUGGAAUAAAAACGAAAUUACGGCCACGUAUACCCGGUCGGCGGAGUGGCGGUUGCCGGGUUGUUCGAUCGACGGAAACCAUCCGGCAAAUUAUGUCAACAAGAUUCAACUCUACUCUCGUAGAACAAAACGUACAGAGAUGGAUAGAUUUGAAUGUUGUGAUAUUAUUCACACAAGUGGUUCAAACAAGACACAAGUCAAAUUGAGGGAAUGUUUUACAAAUGAGAAAAUUGCUUAGUCAAAUUAUAGAAUUUUAUUUCUUUUUGUGAAGGGUACUGUAAUGUUAUGCAAAUUCUUCCCAAAAAGAAAUAUAAAAAGCAUUUUUUUUUCUUUAA